rnacentral:rRNA from 1 species
UACGUAGGGCGCAAGCGUUAUCCGGAAUUAUUGGGCGUAAAGAGCUCGUAGGCGGUUUGUCGCGUCUGCCGUGAAAGUCCGGGGCUCAACUCCGGAUCUGCGGUGGGUACGGGCAGACUAGAGUGAUGUAGGGGAGACUGGAAUUCGUGGUGUAGCGGUGAAAUGCGCAGAUAUCAGGAGGAACACCGAUGGCGAAGGCAGGUCUCUGGGCAUUAACUGACGCUGAGGAGCGAAAGCAUGGGGAGCGAACAGG